AUUGAACGCUGGCGGCAGGCCUAACACAUGCAAGUCGAGCGGCAGCGCGGGGCAACCUGGCGGCGAGCGGCGGACGGGUGAGUAACGCGUAGGAAUCUACCCAGUAGCGGGGGAUAGCCCGGGGAAACUCGGAUUAAUACCGCAUACGCCCUAAGGGGGAAAGCAGGGGAUCUUCGGACCUUGCACUAUUGGCAGAGCCUGCGUUGGAUUAGCUAGUUGGUAGGGUAAAGGCCUACCAAGGCGACGAUCCAUAACUGGUCUGAGAGGAUGAUCAGUCACACCGGAACUGAGACACGGUCCGGACUCCUACGGGAGGCAGCAGUGGGGAAUAUUGGACAAUAGGGGCGGAACCCUACGAGUCCACG
rnacentral:rRNA from 1 species